GCACGGUGGAUGCCUUGGCACUAGGAGCCGAAGAAGGACGUGACAAACGACGAUAUGCCUUGGGUAGCUGUAAGUAAGCGAUGAUCCAGGGAUUUCCGAAUGGGGGAACCCAACAGGUACUACCUGUUACCCGCAUCUGUUAAGGAUGUGAGGAGGAAGACGCAGUGAACUGAAACAUCUAAGUAGCUGCAGGAAGAGAAAGCAAAAGCGAUUGCCUUAGUAGCGGCGAGCGAAGAGGCAGGAGGGCAAACCGAAGAGUUUACUCUUCGGGGUUGUAGGACUGCAAUGUGGACUCAGAAUUUAUAGAAGAAUGGCUUGGGAAAGUCAGCCAAAGAGAGUAAGAGCCUCGUAUUUUAAAUAGAUUCUGUACCUAGCAGUAUCCUGAGUACGGCGGGACACGAGAAAUCCCGUCGGAAUCUGGGAGGACCAUCUCCCAACCCUAAAUACUCCCUAGUGACCGAUAGUGAACCAGUACCGUGAGGGAAAGGUGAAAAGCACCCCGGGAGGGGAGUGAAAUAGAACCUGAAACCGUGUGCCUACAACAAGUUCGAGCCCGUUAAUGGGUGAGAGCGUGCCUUUUGUAGAAUGAACCGGCGAGUUACGUUAUGAUGCGAGGUUAAGUU
rnacentral:rRNA from 1 species